GAUGAACGCUGGCGGCGUGCCUAAUACAUGCAAGUCGAGCGAACGGACGAGAAGCUUGCUUCUCUGAUGUUAGCGGCGGACGGGUGAGUAACACGUGGAUAACCUACCUAUAAGACUGGGAUAACUUCGGGAAACCGUAGCUAAUACCGGAUAAUAUUUUGAACCGCAUGGUUCAAAAGUGAAAGACGGUCUUGCUGUCACUUAUAGAUGGAUCCGCGCUGCAUUAGCUAGUUGGUAAGGUAACGGCUUACCAAGGCAACGAUGCAUAGCCGACCUGAGAGGGUGAUCGGCCACACUGGAACUGAGACACGGUCCAGACUCCUACGGGAGGCAGCAGUAGGGAAUCUUCCGCAAUGGGCGAAAGCCUGACGGAGCAACGCCGCGUGAGUGAUGAAGGUCUUCGGAUCGUAAAACUCUGUUAUUAGGGAAGAACAUAUGUGUAAGUAACUGUGCACAUCUUGACGGUACCUAAGCAGAAAGCCACGGCUAACUACGU
rnacentral:rRNA from 1 species